GGUUAAGCGACUAAGCGUACACGGUGGAUGCCCUGGCAGUCAGAGGCGAUGAAGGACGUGCUAAUCUGCGAUAAGCGUCGGUAAGGUGAUAUGAACCGUUAUAACCGGCGAUUUCCGAAUGGGGAAACCCAGUGUGAUUCGUCACACUAUCAUUAACUGAAUCCAUAGGUUAAUGAGGCGAACCGGGGGAACUGAAACAUCUAAGUACCCCGAGGAAAAGAAAUCAACCGAGAUUCCCCCAGUAGCGGCGAGCGAACGGGGAGCAGCCCAGAGCCUGAAUCAGUGUGUGUGUUAGUGGAAGCGUCUGGAAAGGCGCGCGAUACAGGGUGACAGCCCCGUACACAAAAAUGCACAUGCUGUGAGCUCGAUGAGUAGGGCGGGACACGUGGUAUCCUGUCUGAAUAUGGGGGGACCAUCCUCCAAGGCUAAAUACUCCUGACUGACCGAUAGUGAACCAGUACCGUGAGGGAAAGGCGAAAAGAACCCCGGCGAGGGGAGUGAAAAAGAACCUGAAACCGUGUACGUACAAGCAGUGGGAGCACAGAGCAAUCUGUGUGACUGCGUACCUUUUGUAUAAUGGGUCAGCGACUUAUAUUCUGUAGCAAGGUUAACCGAAUAGGGGAGCCGAAGGGAAACCGAGUCUUAACUGGGCGUUAAGUUGCAGGGUAUAGACCCGAAACCCGGUGAUCUAGCCAUGGGCAGGUUGAAGGUUGGGUAACACUAACUGGAGGACCGAACCGACUAAUGUUGAAAAAUUAGCGGAUGACUUGUGGCUGGGGGUGAAAGGCCAAUCAAACCGGGAGAUAGCUGGUUCUCCCCGAAAGCUAUUUAGGUAGCGCCUCGUGAAUUCAUCUCCGGGGGUAGAGCACUGUUUCGGCAAGGGGGUCAUCCCGACUUACCAACCCGAUGCAAACUGCGAAUACCGGAGAAUGUUAUCACGGGAGACACACGGCGGGUGCUAACGUCCGUCGUGAAGAGGGAAACAACCCAGACCGCCAGCUAAGGUCCCAAAGUCAUGGUUAAGUGGGAAACGAUGUGGGAAGGCCCAGACAGCCAGGAUGUUGGCUUAGAAGCAGCCAUCAUUUAAAGAAAGCGUAAUAGCUCACUGGUCGAGUCGGCCUGCGCGGAAGAUGUAACGGGGCUAAACCAUGCACCGAAGCUGCGGCAGCGACGCUUAUGCGUUGUUGGGUAGGGGAGCGUUCUGUAAGCCUGCGAAGGUGUGCUGUGAGGCAUGCUGGAGGUAUCAGAAGUGCGAAUGCUGACAUAAGUAACGAUAAAGCGGGUGAAAAGCCCGCUCGCCGGAAGACCAAGGGUUCCUGUCCAACGUUAAUCGGGGCAGGGUGAGUCGACCCCUAAGGCGAGGCCGAAAGGCGUAGUCGAUGGGAAACAGGUUAAUAUUCCUGUACUUGGUGUUACUGCGAAGGGGGGACGGAGAAGGCUAUGUUGGCCGGGCGACGGUUGUCCCGGUUUAAGCGUGUAGGCUGGUUUUCCAGGCAAAUCCGGAAAAUCAAGGCUGAGGCGUGAUGACGAGGCACUACGGUGCUGAAGCAACAAAUGCCCUGCUUCCAGGAAAAGCCUCUAAGCAUCAGGUAACAUCAAAUCGUACCCCAAACCGACACAGGUGGUCAGGUAGAGAAUACCAAGGCGCUUGAGAGAACUCGGGUGAAGGAACUAGGCAAAAUGGUGCCGUAACUUCGGGAGAAGGCACGCUGAUAUGUAGGUGAAGCGACUUGCUCGUGGAGCUGAAAUCAGUCGAAGAUACCAGCUGGCUGCAACUGUUUAUUAAAAACACAGCACUGUGCAAACACGAAAGUGGACGUAUACGGUGUGACGCCUGCCCGGUGCCGGAAGGUUAAUUGAUGGGGUCAGCGCAAGCGAAGCUCUUGAUCGAAGCCCCGGUAAACGGCGGCCGUAACUAUAACGGUCCUAAGGUAGCGAAAUUCCUUGUCGGGUAAGUUCCGACCUGCACGAAUGGCGUAAUGAUGGCCAGGCUGUCUCCACCCGAGACUCAGUGAAAUUGAACUCGCUGUGAAGAUGCAGUGUACCCGCGGCAAGACGGAAAGACCCCGUGAACCUUUACUAUAGCUUGACACUGAACAUUGAGCCUUGAUGUGUAGGAUAGGUGGGAGGCUUUGAAGUGUGGACGCCAGUCUGCAUGGAGCCGACCUUGAAAUACCACCCUUUAAUGUUUGAUGUUCUAACGUUGACCCGUAAUCCGGGUUGCGGACAGUGUCUGGUGGGUAGUUUGACUGGGGCGGUCUCCUCCUAAAGAGUAACGGAGGAGCACGAAGGUUGGCUAAUCCUGGUCGGACAUCAGGAGGUUAGUGCAAUGGCAUAAGCCAGCUUGACUGCGAGCGUGACGGCGCGAGCAGGUGCGAAAGCAGGUCAUAGUGAUCCGGUGGUUCUGAAUGGAAGGGCCAUCGCUCAACGGAUAAAAGGUACUCCGGGGAUAACAGGCUGAUACCGCCCAAGAGUUCAUAUCGACGGCGGUGUUUGGCACCUCGAUGUCGGCUCAUCACAUCCUGGGGCUGAAGUAGGUCCCAAGGGUAUGGCUGUUCGCCAUUUAAAGUGGUACGCGAGCUGGGUUUAGAACGUCGUGAGACAGUUCGGUCCCUAUCUGCCGUGGGCGCUGGAGAACUGAGGGGGGCUGCUCCUAGUACGAGAGGACCGGAGUGGACGCAUCACUGGUGUUCGGGUUGUCAUGCCAAUGGCACUGCCCGGUAGCUAAAUGCGGAAGAGAUAAGUGCUGAAAGCAUCUAAGCACGAAACUUGCCCCGAGAUGAGUUCUCCCUGACUCCUUGAGAGUCCUGAAGGAACGUUGAAGACGACGACGUUGAUAGGCCGGGUGUGUAAGCGCAGCGAUGCGUUGAGCUAACCGGUACUAAUGAACCGUGAGGCUUAACCUU
rnacentral:rRNA from 1 species